rnacentral:rRNA from 1 species
UCUUGAGGGAUUGGGGUAAGUCCCCCAAAGAGGGCAAACCCCUUGUUUUGUUUCCAGCAUGUUAAGAUGGGGAAUUUAAACAGAAUGCCGUUGGAAAAACGGAGGAAAGGGGGGGAGAGGUCAAGUCUUCAUGGCCCCUAUGUCCGGGGGUACACACGUGUUACAAAGGGCGGUACAAAGGGGGGCGAAAAGGGGAAAGGGGGCCAAUUUCAAAAAA